rnacentral:rRNA from 1 species
ACAGGGUGACAGGUGGUGCAUGGUUGUCGUCAGCUCGUGUCGUGAGAUGUUGGGUUAAGUCCCGCAACGAGCGCAACCCUCGACCUUAGUUGCCAGCAUUCAGUUGGGCACUCUAAGGUGACUGCCGGCUAAAAGUCGGAGAAGGUGGGGAUGACGUCAAAUCAUCAUGCCCCUUAUGACCUGGGCUACACACGUGCUACAAUGGGCGGUACAAAGGGUCGCGAACCCGCGAGGGGGAGCCAAUCCCAAAAAGCCGCUCUCAGUUCGGAUUGCAGGCUGCAACUCGCCUGCAUGAAGCCGGAAUCGCUAGUAAUCGCGGAUCAGCAUGCCGCGGUGAAUACGUUCCCGGGCCUU